rnacentral:rRNA from 1 species
AGAUUGAACGCUGGCGGCAUGCCUAACACAUGCAAGUCGAACGGGAGUAGCAAUACUCUAGUGGCGGACGGGUGAGGAAUACGUAGGAAUUUGCCCUUAAGUGGGGGAUAACCCGGGGAAACCCGGAUUAAUACCGCAUGACCUCGAAAGAGCAAAGUGGGGGAUCGCAAGACCUCACGCUUUUGGAGAAGCCUACGUCGGAUUAGCUAGUUGGUGAGGUAAUGGCUCACCAAGGCGACGAUCCGUAACUGGUCUGAGAGGAUGAUCAGUCACACCGGAACUGAGACACGGUCCGGACUCCUACGGGAGGCAGCAGUGGGGAAUAUUGGACAAUGGGCGCAAGCCUGAUCCAGCAAUGCCGCGUGUGUGAAGAA